rnacentral:rRNA from 1 species
CCUACGGGGGGCACCAGUGGGGAAUAUUGCACAAUGGGCGAAAGCCUGAUGCAGCCAUGCCGCGUGUGUGAAGAAGGCCUUAGGGUUGUAAAGCACUUUCAGCGAGGAGGAAAGCUUGUGAGUUAAUACCUCUCAAGUGUGACGUUACUCGCAGAAGAAGCACCGGCUAACUCCGUGCCAGCAGCCGCGGUAAUACGGAGGGUGCAAGCGUUAAUCGGAAUUACUGGGCGUAAAACGCGCGUAGGCGGCUUGUUAAGCCAGAUGUGAAAGCCCCGGGCUUAACCUGGGAACUGCAUUUGGAACUGGCAGGCUAGAGUACAGAAGAGGGUGGUAGAAUUUCCUGUGUAGCGGUGAAAUGCGUAGAUAUGGGAAGGAAUACCAGUGGCGAAGGCGGCCACCUGGUCUGAUACUGACGCUGAGGUGCGAAAGCGUGGGGAGCA